AUUUUGCGGGGAACCAACCCCUCAAUCCGUUUAAUUCUCCUACCCAACAAUGUUCGUCUUUUUGACUUAAAAUCGUUAUUAUAUCAUUUUUUCGGAAACCCAAUUCGUCAUCAUCGUGUCUUUCAAAAUCUACAAUAAUAAAGUGCCAUAUCUAUAAUUAUUAUAAAUCUAAUGAUAUCAUUUACACUAGAGUACCUAAUAACGCUUUAGCUCUUCUUUUUCUAGUACGUGAUACAUUCACAUAAUUAUCAUGAUCUUUUGCAUGACUUUCCAUAGUAUAGUCUGCAAUAAGUAUAGUGUUGCUUAAUUUUGGAUCAACAUUGAUAAAGUGUCUAGCGACCUGUAGGACAGCCUCUCUUAAAUCCACCAAUAUUUCUGAAAUAUGACUAUUAUUAUUUUCUUUACACGAUCAAAUGUAUGAACAAAUGUUGAGUAAUUUUCCAUACCUGUUUGACGAAUGUUCUUCGAUUUUGCGUCAUCUUCAGUAUCGUAACUUCCAAACAAAAAUGUUUGUAACAUCGAUUUAUUUCUUUUCAUUUGACGCCUUCGUAAAAGUGUAAAUAAUUUUAUAAAGCAAUUCUAAUUUUCAUUAAAUCGUAUAGUAAUAAAUUAUAUACCUAUUAAGAUGUUGCUUUGGUAAAUUUGGUACUGCAUCUGGAUUACCUACUAAUCCUCCCUGAUCGGCCAUUAAGUAUGCUAAAUGUCUGCGUCUGUGAGUUUCGACUAGAACAUCUGUCAAUGAUCCACUAACUUCCAAAGAUAUCUGCAAUAUAAUAUAUAUAUAUAUAUAUAUAUAUUAUAUGUAUUCUAACAAUCUUUCCUUAAAUCUAGUUAGAAAUUCAGAAAAAUAAUUUUACAUUAAAUAAUUGUUCUACAUCAUCAAUAUCCCCUGGUAUAUCUGAGAGAGCAUUAAAUAUUUGGGCAGAGUUUUCCAAUUGCUUCAAUUCAGAUUCUGUAAAGCAUUAAAUUAUACAUUUAUUGGGUUUACAUCUGGAUAGAGUAAAGUAAUUGUGUGUGACUUGGAAUUAAUGCAUUAUAAUGAAGGUAACAUAGAAUUUCACUGAAUAUGUACCUUCAUGUUUCAAAAAAUAGUGCAAACAUAAAACGUUUAUAUACGCCAUUAUGUUGUUUCAAAAAAAUGGUUAAUAAUAAUAAAACGAGAAGAAAAUUGAUUUUUCAAACUGUUUAAUUAAGCAUUGUUAUUGAUUUGACUAAGUGAUUUAUUCAGUAAGCAACUCUUUUAUUGUAAAACCUUGUAAUAAUAUUAUGUUAUAUAAAAUCUAUAUACCUUUUAUUUUCAACAUUCCAAGUGUAACUUGAAAUAAGACUAUAGAUCCAUCAAAAAGGAACAUAUCCCAUAUGCGCAAUAAUAUUUUCAUAUGUACAACAGAAGCGAAUAGAGUCAGGAACCAGUGCAAUGAUAUCAAACUUAAUUCUAUGUCAUGCUGAACUAAGACAUGGUCUAUGUCAGGAAGAUAAUUAGCUACUAAUGUACGAAGUACUCUUUGGUCAGCCUGGAUACCUGUCACAUAUGUUCAGAAUUAAAUUAGUUAUAUUUUUUCCAUUGUUAGUUACUUUUAUUACUAUUACCUAAUAAUGUUGAAGAAUAAUAGGAUGCCGGUAGUAAAUCUUCUACUAUGGUUACCAUCAUCAAAAAAGCAUCUUCCUCUUCUAGGAGUAAUAAAAGAGAAGCUGCUAUUGUUCCUGUACCCUGGCAGUACCUUUAUAGAAUAUGUCGGAUACAACCAUGCAAGUGCACGCAUAACCCUUCUUAAGCGAGGUAUUCCAGUACUAUGAAGAUGGCUAAAACAUGCAUUGGCAGGCAUGAUACGGAGCAAAUCUUUUUCUAUUUGCUUGUUACUCAUUAAUGCAUCAUUGCUUGAUGCUUUUACAAUAUCUUUGUACAUUAUUUCAGAAGAACAUUUCUUCUGAAGUGCGCCUAUAAUAAAUAAAGGAUAAAUAAUCUAAGUGA